UACGGAGGGUGCGAGCGUUGUCCGGAAUCACUGGGCGUAAAGGGCGCGUAGGUGGCGACCCAAGUCAACGGUGAAAGCUCGGCGCUUAACGCCGAGUCGGCCGUCGAUACUGGGUGGCUCGAGCACUGUAGAGGCAGAUGGAAUUCCGGGUGUAGCGGUGGAAUGCGUAGAGAUCCGGAAGAACACCGGUGGCGAAGGCGGUCUGCUGGGCAGUAGCUGACGCUGAGGCGCGACAGCGUGGGGAGCAAACAGG
rnacentral:rRNA from 1 species